rnacentral:rRNA from 1 species
AACGAGUGGCGGACGGGUGAGUAACACGUAGGUAACCUGCCCAGAAGCGGGGGACAACAUUUGGAAACAGAUGCUAAUACCGCAUAACAGCGUUGUUCGCAUGAACAACGCUUAAAAGAUGGCUUCUCGCUAUCACUUCUGGAUGGACCUGCGGUGCAUUAGCUUGUUGGUGGGGUAACGGCCUACCAAGGCGAUGAUGCAUAGCCGAGUUGAGAGACUGAUCGGCCACAAUGGGACUGAGACACGGCCCAUACUCCUACGGGAGGCAGCAGUAGGGAAUCUUCCACAAUGGGCGCAAGCCUGAUGGAGCAACACCGCGUGAGUGAAGAAGGGUUUCGGCUCGUAAAGCUCUGUUGUUAAAGAAGAACACGUAUGAGAGUAACUGUUCAUACGUUGACGGUAUUUAACCAGAAAGUCACGGCUAACUACGUGCCAGCAGCCGCGGUAAUACGUAGGUGGCAAGCGUUAUCCGGAUUUAUUGGGCGUAAAGAGAGUGCAGGCGGUUUUCUAAGUCUGAUGUGAAAGCCUUCGGCUUAACCGGAGAAGUGCAUCGGAAACUGGAUAACUUGAGUGCAGAAGAGGGUAGUGGAACUCCAUGUGUAGCGGUGGAAUGCGUAGAUAUAUGGAAGAACACCAGUGGCGAAGGCGGCUACCUGGUCUGCAACUGACGCUGAGACUCGAAAGCAUGGGUAGCGAACAGGAUUAGAUACCCUGGUAGUCCAUGCCGUAAACGAUGAGUGCUAGGUGUUGGAGGGUUUCCGCCCUUCAGUGCCGGAGCUAACGCAUUAAGCACUCCGCCUGGGGAGUACGACCGCAAGGUUGAAACUCAAAGGAAUUGACGGGGGCCCGCACAAGCGGUGGAGCAUGUGGUUUAAUUCGAAGCUACGCGAAGAACCUUACCAGGUCUUGACAUCUUGCGCCAACCCUAGAGAUAGGGCGUUUCCUUCGGGAACGCAAUGACAGGUGGUGCAUGGUCGUCGUCAGCUCGUGUCGUGAGAUGUUGGGUUAAGUCCCGCAACGAGCGCAACCCUUGUUACUAGUUGCCAGCAUUAAGUUGGGCACUCUAGUGAGACUGCCGGUGACAAACCGGAGGAAGGUGGGGACGACGUCAGAUCAUCAUGCCCCUUAUGACCUGGGCUACACACGUGCUACAAUGGACGGUACAACGAGUCGCGAACUCGCGAGGGCAAGCAAAUCUCUUAAAACCGUUCUCAGUUCGGACUGCAGGCUGCAACUCGCCUGCACGAAGUCGGAAUCGCUAGUAAUCGCGGAUCAGCAUGCCGCGGUGAAUACGUUCCCGGGCCUUGUACACACCGCCCGU